rnacentral:rRNA from 1 species
GCUUGUCUCAAAGAUUAAGCCAUGCAUGUCUUAGUGUAAAUAACUCUUAUGAAACUGCGAAUGGCUCAUUAAAUCAGUUAUCAAAUACGUGAUGGUCGCCUACUACUUGGAUAACCGUAGUAAUUCUAGAGCUAAUACAUGCGAAAAACCUCGACUUCUGGAAGAGGUGUAUUUAUUAGAUACAGAACCAAUGCGGGGCAACCCGGUUUCUUUGGUGAUUCAUAAUAACUUUGCGAAUCGAAUGGCUUUACGCCGUCGAUGAUUCAUUCAAAUUUCUGCCCUAUCAACUUUCGAUGGUAAGGUAUUGGCUUACCAUGGUGACAACGGGUGACGGAGAAUUAGGGUUCGAUUCCGGAGAGGGAGCCUGAGAAACGGCUACCACUUCCAAGGAAGGCAGCAG